AUUGAACGCUGGCGGCAUGCCUUACACAUGCAAGUCGAACGGUAACGCGGGGCAACCUGGCGACGAGUGGCGAACGGGUGAGUAAUAUAUCGGAACGUGCCCAAUAGUGGGGGAUAGCCCGGCGAAAGCCGGAUUAAUACCGCAUACGACCUGAGGGUGAAAGCGGGGGAUCGCAAGACCUCGCGCUAUUGGAGCGGCCGAUAUCAGAUUAGGUAGUUGGUGGGGUAAAGGCCUACCAAGCCUACGAUCUGUAGCUGGUCUGAGAGGACGACCAGCCACACUGGGACUGAGACACGGCCCAGACUCCUACGGGAGGCAGCAGUGGGGAAUCUUGGACAAUGGGCGCAAGCCUGAUCCAGCCAUGCCGCGUGAGUGAAGAAGGCCUUC
rnacentral:rRNA from 1 species